rnacentral:rRNA from 1 species
CCUACGGGGGGCAGCAGUGGGGAAUAUUGCACAAUGGGGGAAACGCUGAUGCAGCGACGCCGCGUGAGCGAUGAAGUAUUUCGGUAUGUAAAGCCCUAUCAGCAGGGAAGAAAAUGACGGUACCUGACUCAGAAGCCCCGGCUAACUACGUGCCAGCCGCCGCGGUAAUAAGUAGGGGGCAAGCGUUAUCCGGAUUUACUGGGGGUAAAGGGAGCGUAUACGGCUGUGCAAGCCAGAUGUGAAAGCGCGGGGCUCAACCCCGGGACUGCAGUUGGAACUGUGUGUCUGGAGUGUCGGAGAGGCAGGCGGAAUGCCUAGUGUAGCGGUGAAAUGCGUAGAUAUUAGGCGGAACCCCAGCGGCGAAGGCGGCCUGCUGGACGAUGACUGACGUUGAGGCUCGAAAGCGUGGGGAGCGAACAGGAUUAGAUACCCGUGUAGUC